rfam:Pteropus alecto contig38625, whole genome shotgun sequence.
GGCUCUAUUGUGUAGUGGUUAGCACAUCUGCUUUACAUGCAGAAGAUCCUGGGUUUGCGCCCCAGGUGCGCCA